rnacentral:lncRNA from 1 species
CUUUUCGAGGUAGGAGUCGACUCCUGUGAGGUAUGGUGCUGGGUGCAGAUGCAGUGUGGCUCUGGAUAGCACCUUAUGGACAGGCAUUAGACAGAAAGCUGGAAGUUGAAAUGGUGGAGUCCAACUUGCCUGGACCAGCUUAAUGGUUCUGCUCCUGGUAACGUUUUUAUCCAUGGAUGACUUGCUUGGGUAUGGAGAGUCGGCUUGACUACACUGUGUGGAGCAAGUUUUAAAGAAGCAAAGGACUCAGAAUUCAUGAUUGAAGAAAUGCAGGCAGACCUGUUAUCCUAAACUAGGGUUUUUAAUGACCACAACAAGCAAGCAUGCAGCUUACUGCUUGAAAGGGUCUUGCCUCACCCAAGCUAGAGUGCAGUGGCCUUUGAAGCUUACUACAGCCUCAAACUUCUGGGCUCAAGUGAUCCUCAGCCUCCCAGUGGUCUUUGUAGACUGCCUGAUGGAGUCUCAUGGCACAAGAAGAUUAAAACAGUGUCUCCAAUUUUAAUAAAUUUUUGCAAUCCA